rnacentral:rRNA from 1 species
UAGUCAUAUGCUUGUCUCAAAGAUUAAGCCAUGCAUGUCUAAGUAUAAGCAAAUUGUACAGUGAAACUGCGAAUGGCUCAUUAAAUCAGUUAUUGUUUAUUUGAUAAUCCCUUACUACAUGGAUACCUGUGGUAAUUCUAGAGCUAAUACAUGCUUCGAUGUGCGACUUUGUCGUACUGCACUUAUUAGAUAAAAAACCAAUGCUCCUUUGGGGCUUCUUGGUGAUUCAUAAUAAUUCAGCGGACCGCAUUCCCUCGUGGAGGCGGUGGAUCAUUCAA